UGCCCAGAGGGCCUUGGCCCAGUGAAGCAAUGCCCUCAAUGCCCUACGCACACCUCCUGCGAGGCUCCAGGCCGCUAGCCAGAGUGGCGCCCCCUGCCCCGACGCACACGUGGACCAAAAAGGCAUUCAACACUGAGAAUCAGAGCUUUCCAAUCAGUGAUUCACUCAAGGCCUCCCUGUGUGAUCUGAAGCUGAUGGAGUGAGGGCAACAGUUUGGAUCUUGUAAUCCCAGCAUCUUCAUGGCCAUUACGUCACAUUCUACUGCUCCAUCACGUGGGGAAAGAACAUCAUACUGAGAGCCUGGAAACUGGAAAAGUGUAGCUGACACUUCUUCAUCUUAGCUAGAUGCCAUGCGUUACACUGAAGGCUUCACAGAAAAGAUACUCGGUCCACACCAGAGGGUUCUCAUUCUGGAGAGGUAGGAGAAUGAACUGUGGGAUCGUUUUAAGUGCACUCGGCUGGGUACCACUGGAGCUGUGGUGGGUCUGACCCCAGUGUGUGGAGCUAAGUGAUUUCUGAUCUGCACAAGGAGUGCCCUGGAGCGGCACCGAAUGUGGGUGAGAGGGAUGGGAGACGGGCGGUGAGCAGUGAGGCCGCUUCCCUGAUGGUUGAAGUGCUCACGACAGAUGAAUGGGCACCAUGGGCUCUGGAGCAUUGCAGUUGUGUAUUUAUCUGUUACCUAGGACUCAGUUCACUCGUCUCCCACCCACUGGAGCACCCACUGGUUGGCGUGCAGUGGACACCAGAAAGACACUGCACAGGACUGCAACAUCGUCCUGGCUCUGCCACCCCCGCUGUGCUAUCGUUCCAGGCAAUGGUCUAACCUCUCUGUUCUUAGUUUCGGCACAGGGUCUCAGAGCUGGAGGUACAGUACAGGGAGGAGGACAGGCGGUUGUGUAAUUCUCUCAGGAAGAAAGCCAAAACGAAAAAGAAGAAUGCAAGCAGCGUCGGCACACAGGCGAUUUUACAGAAAAGCGAUGAAUGUUCCACUGUGUCCUGAAAUGGUCAUGGAGCACCGCGCUGGAGGAACUGCUGCCUUUUGCAGUUUCGCGAGAGGCAUGAUCUAGGUUUCAUAAACGAUCAGCCGGUCUGCUCAGCUCAAUUCAGCUGUGUUCAAGGAACAGGAACUGAGCAGCUGUUGAGGCUGCAUGCUCACAUCCAGAGACAGUUCAUGCUCUGCAGCAGUUUGGAGUCUGCAGGUAGCUGCAGACCCGCAAAGAGAUCACCUUGAAAUUAUGUGCAGAAGAAAGCUGGGGGGUGGCCUGAGCCAGCCUGGGGCAGGGUGUGUGUGUGUGUGUGUGUGUGUGUGUGUGUGUGUGUGUGUGUGUGUGUGUGUGUGUGUGUGUGUGUGUGUGUGUGUAAUCAAGGAGGGCUUCCUGGAGGAGGCAAUGGAUGCAUCUUAGAAAAGAGCACGUACGGAGUAAUGGGGUAAAGUGAGGAAGGCAACAGCACAAGCAAAAGCACAGAGGCACAGGACAGCACGCAUGGGGACCAGCAGGCAGGGGUGUUUUAAUUCAGGCAAAAUGUGCCUCUUUUCGGGAGAUGACUGCUGCCAAGCUUCUCUUCAAGGGUUAAGACAGCACAUCUGAGCCUCUUCCACUAGAAUCUCACGGGGCCUGGAAUCGAGUACAACCCCCAACGUUACAAUUCUGUUUUGGCACAACUGGCUUAGAGAUGCCAAAUAUACACUCAGCGGAAUCUGAAUCUGAAAAAUCAAAGCCCUUUAAGGAAAGGAUUAAUUAUUAAGAGCAUAUCUAUUCAAGCUUAGCACUUAGGAACCAGACACAGAUUGCUUCUGAAUAGAGCAGUGAAGAGAUUCUGGACGUAAUAUUUAGAUUCUUGUGCCAUGACAUCUUGCAAAGUGUUAGCUGACCCAGGUAAUAAAAAGAGAAGUUCAUAUACCCCCUGCUAGCUAUUAAAAUUCGUCCACUACCUUCUCCUGAGAUCACCCAAAGAUUAGCCAAAUAUUAGGGAACAUAUCCUGCGGCUGCAAAGUUUUAUGUACUGUGUCUUCCUGCUGGUAAAAUGACGCUUAGUUUGUAAAAGUAGCAAGGGGCAGAAAUGCAGAAAAAGAAUCUGUUGUUAGUGUAAAUAUACUCCCCUCUACUGUAUUAUGCUAACGGAGGUAUCAGAUAAAACCACAUCACAGAGAUACAUUUUUCCUUGGAACAGAAGACUGUUUUCUUUGUAAUGUUAAUCCUAAUGUGGUUUUGAGAAGAAUAUUAAAUA